CUUGAACUCACUUUGGAGCCCAGGCUGGCCUCAAACUCACAGCAAUCUUCCUGCCUCAGCCUCCUGAGUGCUGGGAU
rnacentral:miRNA from 1 species